GACGAACGCUGGCGGCGUGCCUAAUACAUGCCAGUUGAGCGCUGAAGGUUGGUACUUGUACCAACUGGAUGAGCCGCGAACGGGUGAGUAACGCGUGGGGAAUCUGCCUUUGAGCGGGGGACAACAUUUGGAAACGAAUGCUAAUACCGCAUAAAAACUUUAAACACAAGUUUUAAGUUUGAAAGAUGCAAUUGCAUCACUCAAAGAUGAUCCCGCGUUGUAUUAGCUAGUUGGUGAGGUAAAGGCUCACCAAGGCGAUGAUACAUAGCCGACCUGAGAGGGUGAUCGGCCACAUUGGGACUGGGACACGGCCCAAACUCCUACGGGAGGCAGCAGUAGGGAAUCUUCGGCAAUGGACGAAAGUCUGACCGAGCAACGCCGCGUGAGUGAAGAAGGUUUUCGGAUCGUAAAACUCUGUUGGUAGAGAAGAACGUUGGUGAGAGUGGAAAGCUCAUCAAGUGACGGUAACUACCCAGAAAGGGACGGCUAACUACGUG
rnacentral:rRNA from 1 species